CGAAAACUACAUAGCUCUCUGGCGCAUUGGCUCGCCUCGCCGAUCACCGGAGAGUCUAUACAUACAUGUGUUCAUUCUUUCAUCUUCUCCCCUUUAAUUCUCUUUUCUUCUUCUCUUUUCCGCCAAGGAUUUUGGCCAGAAAUUCUGAUGUAAACAAAAAGAUGUUUGGCAUUGGUGUCACUGAUUGGUUAUUGAUGUCGAUGGAUCAUUGAUGAAAUUGAUUGGCUUUGUUCAUAGUACAAUGUUGAUGAGAUUGCUCUUCUACUUCUCUGGAGACCAGUGAGAUGAAUGUGUUUGAGUUGAACUCUGCUUCUUCAUGCCUCACCAGCAGCACAUUGCCACAUUCAUCCACCAGCUCCAAAGAAAAGUCACCUUGUCUGUGACUGACUGUACUUGUGAUUAGAUAACAAAUUAUUACGACCGAGUUAAGAAGUAGUAGUUCCGCAGCUGGAAGGAGACAAUGCGAUCCCUGAAGUCAGUCAUGAACCGCAUCAGCGAGGGAGAAAAGGAGGAGCAAAGCAAGGGCACACCAAAUGCGCCUGCGCCUAACUGACAAAGGCCCGGCCUAUCUUGAAAUGCCGCGUGAGGAAAGCACCUCAACCCGGCACUGCAGCUGGGAGCUGGCCAGCGGCCUCACGAGUUCCAGUGCCUUGAAGCGUCGCCUCGUCCAAGUCUUAAAAAAUUCGAAAUUCCGAACCAGUUUGCUUCCAGGCUCCAAGUACUGGCAAAGAAGAAAGUUUACCGGUAGUAGUCUGUCGUUUCGAAGUCGCUUCCGUCGAAGAAAUUCUUCUUCUUUACCCGUUUGUUUCAGCUUUGCCGGUCGAACACGCCACGGCGACCCGUGUGUUGACACAGGGGACGCGCAGGGGUACAAAACUUUGACUUCACUUAAUCAAAUCACACGGUAUAUCCUGCUUAUGUUUUUUUACUUGUUUAUGAACCUCUUCCUUUUCUAAGGCAAGUUGCACUUGAGGAAGGAUGAACUAGUACUACAUGCAUGUAGUAUUACUGCCGAGCAUGCCUCUUUCCGGGCAACAAGCACGUAUAUCCUGUUUUCACUCGCCAUUCUCUUUAUUUUAUAGUACAUUUUUUUUCUCCUUAAUACAAGUUGCCCUAACUUGUCUACGAAGUAGUAGUAGUGCACAUUCAGGCGUUACUGCCCUGCAUUUCGCGGCAAGGAGAACCCGGUCUAUCUAUCUAUCAAUUAAACAUGUGCUGUAUAUCUACGUCGUCAUUGUAUAUGCAGUUUUAAUGGAGUACUGCUCGGGAUGAUUGUGUGGUUAAGUCGUGCGAUCUAAUCUCUUGGAAUGAUGAGGGAUGCGAUUUAGUCGUAUGUAUCGCGCGCAGUCAUCGUGGAUUCGUGGCAUCUCAUCAUCAGGUCCGGCAUCACUUUCUGAAGCUUCCUUGCCGUUUCUACGUAGAGUACGUGCUUGCUUGCUCUGUCGUGUGUACGCACGUAGUCCUCCCCCUCCCCUCAUCGAUCCCCAAGUGGAUAACCUACGUGUGAGCCGCGUAUAAUAAUACGUACUGGAGUAAUCUGUCUUAGCCAGAUUGACAUCCGAUACAUUUUGCCACGUUCGCUAUGAUUAGCUGCCGAUGAUUAGUUUUGGGUUGGAGAAGACGCGAGGGAAUCUGGAAGGCUAGGGGGCAGCCGGUCGGAGUUGCCGGCACGAAAAUGUGCGAGAGGAUCAGAGCAGAGGGGCCGGGUCAGGUGUAGCAGUAGUGUGUGGUGCAACUGUAUCUCAUGACUCAGCAGGCGUGCGUGGGGAUGCGGUUGCGAGAUCAAUUCCUCGGGUCCGGGUGGUGGCGGUGGGCACGCGCGAUGCCGGUCCCCGGCGGCGUGGGCGUGCCCGCCUGCGCCCGCGCCGGCGUCGCUCCCUCGUGGCUCGUGGGGGACGUGUGCGGCAAGCGAGGAGUUGGGGUUGGACCCCGGCGCGCGCGUAGGGCAGGCAGCAGCAACGGCUCGAUCAGUCGAGCGAUCAAUCGGUCGAGGUCAGUGCGGCGCGGCACGUCCGUUGGUAGUGGUAUGGGACGGACGGAUCGUAGGCGCGGGGCACGCACGAGCCUCCUACACGUACCGACGCGAGCAACAGUGCGCGCGCGAGCGAGCGAGGAGGCGGUGGCGCCGGUGGGGUGCGUGAGACUCGCGCCAGACCGCGCGCGGAUCGGGAGGAACAGAUCCCGGUUUCCGCUGCCGUGGGAGCACCGCGGAGGGGAGGGGGGCCGUGCCGCCAUGCGUGCCGUGGCGUGCGCGCCUGGAGUGUUCAUUGGAUCCCGCCCUGCGCGCGUGACGCGAGGAGGCGGGCCCGGGGCCUGGGGACGACGGCUUCGUCAUGGGCCAUGUGUUGUGCUCCCGACCUGACUCUCACGCACGGAUGUUAUGGCCCUAUCAUCAUCACCGAGAGAUUAGAGAGGGCGCAGUGGGCUUCGGUUUUAGAGAGGGCACAGUGGGCUGCGGGAAAUGUGAGCAAAAAAAAAAAUU
rnacentral:lncRNA from 1 species